UCAAGUGAAGAAGCGCAUACGGUGGAUGCCUUGGCAGUCAGAGGCGAUGAAAGACGUGGUAGCCUGCGAAAAGCUUCGGGGAGUCGGCAAACAGACUUUGAUCCGGAGAUGUCUGAAUGGGGGAACCCAGCCAUCAUAAGAUGGUUAUCUUGUACUGAAUACAUAGGUGCAAGAGGCGAACCAGGGGAACUGAAACAUCUAAGUACCCUGAGGAAAAGAAAUCAACCGAGAUUCCCUUAGUAGUGGCGAGCGAACGGGGACUAGCCCUUAAGUGGCUUUGAGAUUAGCGGAACGCUCUGGAAAGUGCGGCCAUAGUGGGUGAUAGCCCUGUACGCGAAAAUCUCUUGGUCAUGAAAUCGAGUAGGACGGAGCACGAGAAACUUUGUCUGAAUAUGGGGGGACCAUCCUCCAAGGCUAAAUACUACUGACUGACCGAUAGUGAACUAGUACCGUGAGGGAAAGGCGAAAAGAACCCCGGAGAGGGGAGUGAAAUAGAUCCUGAAACCGUAUGCGUACAAGCAGUGGGAGCAGACUUUGUUCUGUGACUGCGUACCUUUUGUAUAAUGGGUCAGCGACUUAUUUUCAGUGGCGAGCUUAACCGAAUAGGGGAGGCGUAGCGAAAGCGAGUCUUAAUAGGGCGUCUAGUCGCUGGGAAUAGACCCGAAACCGGGCGAUCUAUCCAUGGGCAGGUUGAAGGUUGGGUAACACUAACUGGAGGACCGAACCGACUACCGUUGAAAAGUUAGCGGAUGACCUGUGGAUCGGAGUGAAAGGCUAAUCAAGCUCGGAGAUAGCUGGUUCUCCUCGAAAGCUAUUUAGGUAGCGCCUCAUGUAUCACUGUAGGGGGUAGAGCACUGUUUCGGCUAGGGGGUCAUCCCGACUUACCAAACCGAUGCAAACUCCGAAUACCUACAAGUGCCGAGCAUGGGAGACACACGGCGGGUGCUAACGUCCGUCGUGAAAAGGGAAACAACCCAGACCGUCAGCUAAGGUCCCAAAGUUAUGGUUAAGUGGGAAACGAUGUGGGAAGGCUUAGACAGCUAGGAGGUUGGCUUAGAAGCAGCCACCCUUUAAAGAAAGCGUAAUAGCUCACUAGUCGAGUCGGCCUGCGCGGAAGAUGUAACGGGGCUCAAACCAUACACCGAAGCUACGGGUAUCAUCUUCGGAUGAUGCGGUAGAGGAGCGUUCUGUAAGCCUGUGAAGGUGAGUUGAGAAGCUUGCUGGAGGUAUCAGAAGUGCGAAUGCUGACAUGAGUAACGACAAUGGGUGUGAAAAACACCCACGCCGAAAGACCAAGGUUUCCUGCGCAACGUUAAUCGACGCAGGGUUAGUCGGUCCCUAAGGCGAGGCUGAAAAGCGUAGUCGAUGGAAAACAGGUUAAUAUUCCUGUACUUCUGGUUAUUGCGAUGGAGGGACGGAGAAGGCUAGGCCAGCUUGGCGUUGGUUGUCCAAGUUUAAGGUGGUAGGCUGAGAUCUUAGGUAAAUCCGGGAUCUUAAGGCCGAGAGCUGAUGACGAGUUACCCUUUGGGUGACGAAGUGGUUGAUGCCAUGCUUCCAAGAAAAGCUUCUAAGCUUCAGGUAACCAGGAACCGUACCCCAAACCGACACAGGUGGUUGGGUAGAGAAUACCAAGGCGCUUGAGAGAACUCGGGUGAAGGAACUAGGCAAAAUGGCACCGUAACUUCGGGAGAAGGUGCGCCGGUGAGGGUGAAGGACUUGCUCCGUAAGCUCAUGCCGGUCGAAGAUACCAGGCCGCUGCGACUGUUUAUUAAAAACACAGCACUCUGCAAACACGAAAGUGGACGUAUAGGGUGUGACGCCUGCCCGGUGCCGGAAGGUUAAUUGAUGGGGUUAGCUAACGCGAAGCUCUUGAUCGAAGCCCCGGUAAACGGCGGCCGUAACUAUAACGGUCCUAAGGUAGCGAAAUUCCUUGUCGGGUAAGUUCCGACCUGCACGAAUGGCGUAACGAUGGCGGCGCUGUCUCCACCCGAGACUCAGUGAAAUUGAAAUCGCUGUGAAGAUGCAGUGUAUCCGCGGCUAGACGGAAAGACCC
rnacentral:rRNA from 1 species